AACAACAGCCCCUAUAUAUAAGGUNCAGCACGCACGCACCNCCCACCNAAUNCUUAGAGUUUCCCGUCACCCGGUAACACGGUGCAGGCCGACCUCAGAUGCCACUGGUGACCUGCGGGAAAUCUGCCUUUCGGGUAGAGCCGGGACAGGGGAAGUACAUUUGGGAAUACCCUUAGAGAGGGGGCACCCAUGGUAACUAGUUUAUAACCCCACGGAUUUCAGGGNCCAAAGGUGGAACCUUUGGACCUCCGCCCCUAAGUUUUGCCCAAUUGGAAUUAUCUAGUUUGUGAGGUAAUGGCUCCCCAAGGGGGCGGUUCCCUAGAUGGUUUGGAGGGAGGUUCAGCCCACCUGGGAAUGGGACCCGGUCCCAACUCCUUCGGGAGGCCGCCGUGGGGAAUUUUGCCCAAUGGACGCAAGCCUGAUGCAACCAUGCCGGGUGUUGGAAGAAGGCCUUCGGGUUGUAAAGCACUUUCAGUAAGGAGGAAAGGUUAAGUGUUAAUAGCACUUAGCUGUGACGUUACUUACAGAAGAAGCACCGGCUAACUCCGUGCCAGCAGCCGCGGUAAUACGGAGGGUGCGAGCGUUAAUCGGAAUUACUGGGCGUAAAGCGUACGCAGGCGGUUUGUUAAGCGAGAUGUGAAAGCCCCGGGCUCAACCUGGGAACUGCAUUUCGAACUGGCAAACUAGAGUGUGAUAGAGGGUGGUAGAAUUUCAGGUGUAGCGGUGAAAUGCGUAGAGAUCUGAAGGAAUACCGAUGGCGAAGGCAGCCACCUGGGUCAACACUGACGCUCAUGUACGAAAGCGUGGGGAGCAAACAGGAUUAGAUACCCUGGUAGUCCACGCCGUAAACGAUGUCUACUAGAAGCUCGGGUCUUCGGACUUGUUUUUCAAAGCUAACGCAUUAAGUAGACCGCCUGGGGAGUACGGCCGCAAGGUUAAAACUCAAAUGAAUUGACGGGGGCCCGCACAAGCGGUGGAGCAUGUGGUUUAAUUCGAUGCAACGCGAAGAACCUUACCUACACUUGACAUACAGAGAACUUACCAGAGAUGGUUUGGUGCCUUCGGGAACUCUGAUACAGGUGCUGCAUGGCUGUCGUCAGCUCGUGUUGUGAGAUGUUGGGUUAAGUCCCGCAACGAGCGCAACCCCUAUCCUUAGUUGCCAGCGAUUCGGUCGGGAACUCUAAGGAGACUGCCGGUGAUAAACCGGAGGAAGGUGGGGACGACGUCAAGUCAUCAUGGCCCUUACGUGUAGGGCUACACACGUGCUACAAUGGCGCAUACAGAGUGCUGCGAACCUGCGAGGGUAAGCGAAUCACUUAAAGUGCGUCGUAGUCCGGAUUGGAGUCUGCAACUCGACUCCAUGAAGUCGGAAUCGCUAGUAAUCGCGUAUCAGAAUGACGCGGUGAAUACGUUCCCGGGCCUUGUACACACCGCCCGUCACACCAUGGGAGUGGGUUGCUCCAGAAGUGGAUAGUCUAACCUUCGGGAGGACGUCACCNCGAGA
rnacentral:rRNA from 1 species